GAACGCUGGCGGCGUGCUUAACACAUGCAAGUCGAACGAUGAAGCCCUUCGGGGUGGAUUAGUGGCGAACGGGUGAGUAACACGUGGGCAAUCUGCCCUUCACUCUGGGACAAGCCCUGGAAACGGGGUCUAAUACCGGAUAUCACUCUCGCAGGCAUCUGUGAGGGUCGAAAGCUCCGGCGGUGAAGGAUGAGCCCGCGGCCUAUCAGCUUGUUGGUGAGGUAAUGGCUCACCAAGGCGACGACGGGUAGCCGGCCUGAGAGGGCGACCGGCCACACUGGGACUGAGACACGGCCCAGACUCCUACGGGAGGCAGCAGUGGGGAAUAUUGCACAAUGGGCGAAAGCCUGAUGCAGCGACGCCGCGUGAGGGAUGACGGCCUUCGGGUUGUAAACCUCUUUCAGCAGGGAAGAAGCGAAAGUGACGGUACCUGCAGAAGAAGCGCCGGCUAACUACGUGCCAGCAGCCGCGGUAAUACGUAGGGCGCAAGCGUUGUCCGGAAUUAUUGGGCGUAAAGAGCUCGUAGGCGG
rnacentral:rRNA from 1 species